rnacentral:pre_miRNA from 1 species
AGUGGAAUAGCUGGAUCAUGGUGGUUCCAUUCCCAGUUUUCCAAGGAAUCUUCAUACUGCUUUGCAGAUUGGUUGUACCAAUUUACAGUCCCACCAGCAAU